rnacentral:rRNA from 1 species
CCUACGGGAGGCAGCAGUGGGGAAUAUUGGGCAAUGGGCGCAAGCCUGACCCAGCAACGCCGCGUGAAGGAAGAAGGCUUUCGGGUUGUAAACUUCUUUUCUCAGGGACGAAGCAAGUGACGGUACCUGAGGAAUAAGCCACGGCUAACUACGUGCCAGCAACCGCGGUAAUACGUAGGUGGCAAGCGUUAUCCGGAUUUACUGGGUGUAAAGGGCGUGUAGGCGGGAAAGCAAGUCAGAUGUGAAAACCAUGGGCUCAACCUGUGGCCUGCAUUUGAAACUGUUUUUCUUGAGUACUGGGGAGGCAGACGGAAUUCCUAGUGUAGCGGUGAAAUGCGUAGAUAUUAGGAGGAACACCAGUGGCGAAGGCGGUCUGCUGGACAGCAACUGACGCUGAGGCGCGAAAGCGUGGGGAGCAAACAGGAUUAGAUACCCUUGUAGUC